ACCAGCUCCCACUGAAAACCUCUGGCUCCAGCAUGUGCACCAGCUGCCAACUUAGGGAUGGCAAGUGUGCACACUAGUCCUGCACUGAAGGAAACGAAUCGCCCUGCUUGCUGAGCCGCCCUCGUGUGAUCUAAUUCUGUUAAGUAGCUCUCCACUUCCCUGCUCGACUGCCAUGCCCUGCAUUUCCUAGAGAUGACGCACACAACUGAUGACCUCUGCAGCCCGCGAGCAGUGUCAGGCACAGCAAGUACUAUGCUAUGGGCAGAAUCCCACUAGAAAUUACUUUUUUUUUAAAAUUUAAGUUAAAGCUAAAAAGUAAUGAGAUGUCAAAAUAUAACAAAAAUCAUUUUCGCAACUAUGCCUCCUGUAUACACUUGCCAUUUGAAAAUUUAGAUUUUACAAUCGCUAACGUUUUCUGCGAGCGAAAACAGGCCUGGAGAAAAUGCGAUAAACGAUACAGCAAGUUUCAGUUUGAUCUUGUGUUCCCAUUUCUGAAGGCAGAUGAUGCUUGUGGGAUAGGAAGCCAACAAACGCAGGUUCAUUUGAGGUCUCUAUCUAGGGUAUUCUUUCUCAUUUUAUGCGAAACCAGAAGCUAGCGAGCUAAGGUUGGCACCUGAAAGUACUUGAUGGGAGACUGGGGUUGGGGAUUUCUUUCAAAGCUAAGCAAAAAUGCUGAAGACUGAGAAGAUAUCACAGACUAAGAACAUAUCAAAGACUGCGAACAUAUCCAGCUAUUUAAACGAACGGUGGAAACAAGCAGGUGAGCUGCUGGCUGCUCUGAAGAGCACUGGAAAACUCAAGCUGCAGUACAAUGGAGAAAAGUACUAUAUCUCACCUCGCUGCUUCGAGUCCGCGGGACAGCUGGAAAUUCACCCUGCCUUAGCCUGGCCUGCAAGAACCCCAACCUCUAAGGCUAAGACGCCCUCCAUUGCUGGUUGAGGCUCUUUCACCUAGAACUAAGAAGCUGCCCCGAGGGAAGACUCAUCACGGGAGGGCCUUGACCCAUUGACGAUGCCUCCUGAGGCACACACAGGACAGGGAGUCACAAGGUGACAAUGGAUGGAGCCACUGCUGCUGUUCACCUCUGCAUUUGUCUCUCUCACUAGGAUAUAAGCUCUUCAAGGACAAGGAUUGUGAUUGUCUCUGUCCUUAAGUUAAUGCAGGUAAUACAAACAUACAUGUCACGUGUAAAAAAUAACUCAGAGGAUCAAAUCUAUCUACUGAUCCACAAUAACAGCAGUAUUUCUGUGUCAUUCUAUAACCGAUAUGUACACUUGUCAUUUAUUAAUAAAACUAGCCUCUCUAUACUGUUCA